rnacentral:rRNA from 1 species
ACGGAGGGUGCGAGCGUUAAUCGGAAUUACUGGGCGUAAAGCGCGCGUAGGCGGUUUGUUAAGUCAGCUGUGAAAGCCCCGGGCUCAACCUGGGAACUGCAGUUGAUACUGGCCGACUAAGUACGAGAGAGGGAGGUAAAUUCCAUGUGUAGCGGUGAAAUGCGUAAUAUAUGGAGGAAUACCAGUGGCGAAGGCGGCCUCCUGGCUCGAUACUGACGCUGAGGUGCGAAAGCGUGGGGAUCAAACAGGAUUAGAUACCCUGGUAGUCCACGCCGUAAACGAUGUCUACUAGCCGUUGGGAGACUUGAUUUCUUAGUGGCGCAGCUAACGCAAUAAGUAGACCGCCUGGGGAGUACGGCCGCAAGGUUAAAACUCAAAUGAAUUGACGGGGGCCCGCACAAGCGGUGGAGCAUGUGGUUUAAUUCGAUGCAACGCGAAGAACCUUACCAGGUCUUGACAUCCUGCGAAUUUUCUAGAGAUAAAUUAGUGCCUUCGGGAACGCAGUGACAGGUGCUGCAUGGCUGUCGUCAGCUCGUGUCGUGAGAUGUUGGGUUAAGUCCCGUAACGAGCGCAACCCUUGUCCUUAGUUGCCAGCACAUAAUGGUGGGAACUCUAAGGAGACUGCCGGUGACAAACCGGAGGAAGGUGGGGACGACGUCAAGUCAUCAUGGCCCUUACGACCUGGGCUACACACGUGCUACAAUGGAACGCACAGAGGGCUGCAAAGGCGCGAGCUGGAGCGAAUCCCACAAAACGUUUCGUAGUCCGGAUUGGAGUCUGCAACUCGACUCCAUGAAGUCGGAAUCGCUAGUAAUCGUGAAUCAGAAUGUCACGGUGAAUACGUUCCCGGGCCUUGUACACACCGCCCGUCACACCAUGGGAGUGGGUUGCAAAAGAAGUGGGUAGACUAACCUUCGGGAGGUCGCUCCCCACUUUGUGAUUCAUGACUGGGGUGAAGUCGUAACAAGGUAGCCCUAGGGGAACCUGGGGCUGGAUCACCUCCUU